rnacentral:tRNA from 1 species
GUGUCGUUGUCGAGUGGGGUGUGUUGAGUUUUGAUGCUUCCCCCGUUGAUUAUGUUACGAGCAUAACAAGCUGAUGCUGCUGCCUGGUUGUUUGCUUGACAAACCCGACUCAGUCACUGUGAUAGCAGUGAGUGUGGCUGUGUGUUUGUUUUUGUUUGUGCUUCAUCGAUGGAUGGCUGGCUGGCUGGCUGGCUGACUGUGCUUUGUUGUGAUUGCGUUGCCACUCUUUUUGAGUAUGCCCAUUGGCAAUAUGUAUGGAUGUGACGAGGUGGCCGAGUGGUUAAGGCGUUGGACUGCUAAUCCAAUGUGCUCUGCACGCGUGGGUUCGAAUCCCAUCCUCGUCGUCUUGUCAAUUGAUGCUUUAAUUAGCUCAACACCUAUAUUUUAUUGUAUUUUUUAUUUUAAAUAUAAUUUUAAGAGAUUUGUUGAAUCAUUUGUCGCACAAUUAUCAACUCCUGGUAAUUAUUGUUGGUAUAAAUACAUAUUGGAAUACACACACAUACAUACAAAAAUA